GAGUUUGAUCUUGGCUCAGGACGAACGCUGGCGGCGUGCCUAAUACAUGCAAGUCGAGCGAGGGUUUUUAAGACCCUAGCGGCGGACGGGUGAGUAACACGUAGGCAACCUGCCUCUCAGACCGGGAUAACAUAGGGAAACUUAUGCUAAUACCGGAUAGGUUUUUGGAUCGCAUGAUCCGAAAAGAAAAGAUGGCUUUUCGCUAUCACUGGGAGAUGGGCCUGCGGCGCAUUAGCUAGUUGGUGGGGUAACGGCCUACCAAGGCGACGAUGCGUAGCCGACCUGAGAGGGUGACCGGCCGACACUGGGACUGAGACACGGCCCAGACUCCUACGGGAGGCAGCAGUAGGGAAUUUUCCACAAUGGACGAAAGUCUGAUGGAGCAACGCCGCGUGAACGGAUGAAGGUCUUCGGAUUGUAAAGUUCUGUUGUCAGGACGAACACGUACCGUUCGAAUAGGGCGGUACCUUGACGGUACCUGACGAGAAAGCCACGGCUAACUACGUGCCAGCAGCCGCAGU
rnacentral:rRNA from 1 species